AUGUGGAUGCUGCUGCUGGUCCUCUUCUCUUACUCUUCAGGUGUAAUGUACCAGUACACCCUGAGUCAGCCACCUUCCCUCUCCCUGUCCCUGGGACAACCAGCAAAACUCUCCUGCAACAUUAGCAGUGGCUUCUACUUUGCUUACUUCAUCUGGUUCCAGCAGAAGGAAGAGGAAAGGCCCAGGUUUCUUCUGUAUUAUAAUACAACCUCCAGUGAGACCAAAUUGGGCUCUGAUGCCUCUGGUCAUUUCUCUACAUCCACAAACACCCCAAAGAAAAUUGCCUACCUAAGCAUCAGCAGUGUGCAGGCAAAGGAUGAAGGUGACUAUUAUUGUGCUCUUUGGAGACACAGUGUGGAACGUCAGAGAGGAGCAUGA